CUGGAGUGCAGAGGCAUGAUCUUGGCUCAUGGCAACCUCUACCUCCUGGGUUCAAGCAAUUCUCCUGCCUCAGCCUCCUGAGUAGCUGGGACUAUGAGAUUUUUUUUUAAUUGAAAGAAGCAAGGACAUCAGCUGAGAAGGAGGAUGGAGAAGGAGGUGACAGAAUCUGGAAGAAUAGGAGCUGGCUGAUGCAGUCAUUUAUUAGAGACCCUCUUGAAGACCCCAAGGAGAUACAGAAGUGUUCAAUACACAUUUGAGACUAGAGGACAUGCUAAUGCAAAUGUUGAGUUUGAGAGGACUCAGGAGAAGGAUUUGGAGAGUUGAGAAAGAUCAGACAUCAGAUUAGAUGCCACACGAUGAAAAGAGUCCACGGCCACACAGGGAUGAGUGUCCAGCUGUUGUUGCCAAGAGCAUUCACCAGUAGACCUGCAUGGAAAUCUCUGCUUCGGGUCUCCUUCCCAUUCUAUGGCAAUUUUAACAGAAGAGGUCCUAAGAGGCAAACCACUAAAAUGGAAUUUUGGAACUGGAUCAUCAACCAGCCACCUGGCAAUGAGGACAUCAUCCCUCGUAGUAAGUGGAGUACUGAUACCACCUGGCGUGCUGUGGCUGCAAAAGUUAAAACUUUUACCCAUGCAGAAGUUGUGAUGGGAUAUCGGUAGGAAGUAAUGAAAGCAAUAUCUCAGGCAUUUGAGAGGCCUAUCGGAAAUUGUGAUUAUAUGGAGUCAGAUGGUGGUUGCUGGAGGCUAUUGCUGCAU
rnacentral:lncRNA from 1 species